AGAAAAAGAUAAGAGUUACUCUCUAGACAUAGUGCUGUAUUUCCUUUGGGAAUUGUAGUUUUUCUUAGUUUGUGUUGUCCUGAAGUGAACUUUAGCUCUAUACUUUUUUUUCUUUGUCUUUUAUUUAUUUAUUUUUAUUUUUAGAUUUCCUAGUGCCCUAGUUGCAUUUCUUCUGUGUAUUGAGAGACCACCAGGGCAAGGCAAAGUUUAUCUGAAUGUUUUUUCCUCCUAUUGUAAAUAUUUUAUUUGAACCAUCCAUGGUUCAAAUAAAAAAGAGGCUUGGUUCCUGUCAGGCCUCUUUAAAGAAAACAAGGAAAAAGGCUUCCUAGUGCUUUAGAAGAUAUAAGAUUGUUAAAACUUCAUUUUAGAGAACUAGGGAUUUGGCUGAACUAACAUGAAUGCCUUUGAAAGAAGAUAUGGGUUGGGUGCAUAUUUUCAGUAUGUGCUGCAGCAGCUCUUUAUUAAAGUGUGAAUCAUUACAAAGUCUUCAUUUCCUAUGGGGUGAUAAUACUGCUGCUUUGUGGAUGACUACCUGUCAUGCCCAAACCCUGCAAACUUUUCUACAUAGGGAAAUGGAAUUGGGCUUAUGCCACCUGUAGCUUUUACUCAAGAGACUUCAUGGACUGAUUUCCCAAUAAUCAUAGUAGCUACCACUUAUUGAGGUCUUGCUACUACUUGGAUCAUGCUGAGUACUUCAAGUAUAUUAAACCUCAAAAACAACUUUACAAGGUAGGUUAUAUUAUGCUUAUUAUAAAUCCUCCAGAGUUAAUAAAUUUGCCUAAGUCCACCUAGUUAGAAAAUGAUUAGGCUGGGAUUGGAAUCAAGAUGGUCUGGUUUGGGGAUCUCGACUCCUAAUUGUUAUACUGUACUGAGACUAGUCUGCCUUAAUUGACAUAAACUACUUGUCCAUUAUAGCAUGGGUGUUGGAAGAGUAGGGGUUAAGAGAAAUAAUAAUAUCCAGCAUUUUUCUAGUGUUUUAGCAUUCUUCAUAUAGUAUCCCACUGGAUUUCCUUAGUGUAAUACAAUAACAUUUGGUUUAUACACCAGGUAGUCAAACAUCAUGCCUGUCUUGUGAUCUCAAUGGGAAAAUGAAGUAUAUACCUCAAGUGAUACAGUCUUGGCUGAAUCAUGGAACAAUUAUGCCAUCAGAGAAUUGAGAGAAUAUUGCAAAAUGUUAUUGGAAGAGAUGAUCAAAGAGUAUGCAACCAAAAAAUAUAGGAAAAGUAUUUCAGAGAGAUGAGAUCUAACUCUGUCAUUCAGUCUGGAAAGCAGUUGCGUGAUCAUAACUCACUGCAGCCUUGGAUUCCUAGGCUCAAGCAAUCCUCUAGAGUAGCUUGGACUAAAGGCAUGCACCACCAUGACU